CACUUUACACUCCCAUUCUGAUUCUGGUCCCACUGAAAAUCACACCAAGAAAUGGACUGGGACCAAAUCAAACCAAAUCAAACAUGAAAUUCAUGGUCCCACUGGCCAGCCUACAUACUUCACACUUAUAUAGUUUCUAACAAUUCUUCUGUAUAGCUUAUAAAGUUCUUUCACUUCAUACUUCAUUGUAAAGCAGCUUCUGAUAUUCUUUCAUCUCAAUCUCUUUUCUAUAAGAACUCUCUUUAUAUAAUCUUUUCUUCUGAUCUCUUUUCUCUUUCUUUUCUUAAUCAAUUCAUAAUCUGUAUUUAGAAUAGUACUAAAUCAUU
rnacentral:sRNA from 1 species